GAGAGAGAGUUUACUUUUUCGAGCGAGUGGCGAACGGGUGAGUAACGCGUGAGGAACCUGCCUCAAAGAGGGGGACAACAGUUGGAGACGACUGCUAAUACCGCAUAAGCCCACGGCUCGGCAUCGAGCAGAGGGAAAAGGAGCAAUCCGCUUUGAGAUGGCCUCGCGUCCGAUUAGCUAGUUGGUGAGGUAACGGCCCACCAAGGCGACGAUCGGUAGCCGGACUGAGAGGUUGAACGGCCACAUUGGGACUGAGACACGGCCCAGACUCCUACGGGAGGCAGCAGUGGGGAAUAUUGCACAAUGGGGGAAACCCUGAUGCAGCGACGCCGCGUGGAGGAAGAAGGUCUUCGGAUUGUAAACUCCUGUUGUUGAGGAAGAUAAUGACGGUACUCAACAAGGAAGUGACGGCUAACUACGUGCCAGCAGCCGCGGUAAAACGUAGGUCACAAGCGUUGUCCGGAAUUACUGGGUGUAAAGGGAGCGCAGGCGGGAAGACAAGUUGGAAGUGAAAUCCAUGGGCUCAACCCAUGAACUGCUUUCAAAACUGUUUUUCUUGAGUAGUGCAGAGGUAGGCGGAAUUCCCGGUGUAGCGGUGGAAUGCGUAGAUAUCGGGAGGAACACCAGUGGCGAAGGCGGCCUACUGGGC
rnacentral:rRNA from 1 species